GUAAAUUUAGUGUAGUAUACUAAAUUGACUCUGCCAAACUAAAUCAAUUACAAUCACAAAUAAUUAUGAAAUACAAGUGACAUCAUAUAAGGAAAAAAAAUCCAACUUUAUAAGCGAAUAAAGCUUUCAACAUCAAUUUUUAAAGAGGGAUUUUUUUCCCAUGUCCCACAAUAUCCAACUUACAAAGGUAAACUACAUUGCUAUCAUAAUUUAGAAAAAUCUUAAAUACAUAUGACAUAAAAAUCCACUUCAACUUGUCAUAUCAUCCAUUUAGCCUUCUUCUCUUUGCCAUUUCAGCAAUUUCUUCCACUACAACUUUUCUUUUCUGAAUUCCUCUCCUACGCUUCAAGAUUCACAUAUACAGGAGGUCUUUUUGUCCCUCUUUUCUACCAAGGAGAACAUAUAAGCCUAUUACUUCUUCUUCUUUUCCCUGCAAUUGGAGGAAAUAUUAUACACUUAUUAGUUUCUAUAUUCAGGAUAAUGGACUAUCCAAAAAGAAUCAUCUCACUAAAAUGUAUUGCAUAUUUAAUUUAUCUCACUAAAAUGUAUUGCAUGUUUCUUAAUAGAACAUUGUCCUGCAUUCAUUUAAGUAUAAGUAUUCUCCUCAUAGAACAUGGAUUCUAACGAAAUUCUCUACCAGAGAGAUAAGAGCAAAAAAAUCCCUACAAAGUGUCAACAUAGUUCACUGAUUUAAAACAAAUUUCACAUGUUAUAUCAUUGCACCUCAUUUGCGACCACCCUUUGCGACCAUUGUCUUGCAACCAAAUCUUCAAUACCAUAAUUUUUAUAACUCAUCUGACAAUAUUAACACAGAUUUUAUUUCAAACAGUAGCAACAUAGAACUCCAACAUAUAACAAUCAUAUUUAGCUUAUUGUCCUGCAUUCCUUAAAGCAUAAAUAUUUUCAUACAUAACAUGGACUAUAGUAAAAUUCAGUUGCAAUGAGUUUAGAGGAAAAAAAUUCCCUACAAAGUGCCUAGUAACAUAGAUUACUUAUUUAAAACAAAAUUCAUAUAUUAUAUCAUGACAACUCAUCACUAAGUAUGCAAAACAAUGCCACAUAUUACAUUACAAAACGGUCCUGCCACCAAAUCUUCAAUAUAAUAAUUUCUAAAACUCAUCCUACAAUAGGAACACAUAUAUAAUUUCAAACAGUAGCAACAUCCAACAAGUAAAAUUAAAAACAAAACAAAAACAAACAAACCAUGCGCUAAAUCACCCACUAUACAUAUCCUGCAAUUAGUCACUCCAUAAUCACAAUUAACUACAUUCGUUGGUUACUCUACAAAUUCAAAUUAAAAAUAAACAAGAACCCAAAUUUGUUGUUCCGCUUCUCUUACAUACAACAGGUGAUAUACUACAAAAUUAACUGGGGCAUUAAUUAACGAACUUUAUAUAUGGUGGACAACCAUAUUACUAUGAAUCCUAUGCAAAACAAGAAAUAGAUUUAACCUUCACUCAUGAUUCAGAACUUCCUCUUAUUUUUUAAAACCGCCCAGAUACAAGGUUGAAGAACCCUAAAAGAUCGACAAUACGUGAUUGUCCUGCACUGAUCAAUAAAUACAUUAAAUUUGUCCAACAAUUACAAACUUGUCCAGCAGUUACAUACCACAUUGUCCUGUUACAAACCAAAUAAUUACACACCCCAAUCUGACCAAUCACAACAAUAAAUUUAACCGUAUCGAUUUCGUACAGAGGCCACCAUACAUCAAGACAAUUGUCCUGCAUACCAAUCCCACUGCAUAUCAACAAUAUACUAGUAAAUUGGUAGUCUCAAUUGUCUAGCAGUAGCUGGAAAAAUGUCUUGCAUACAAAAAACAUCCAACAUACAAACCUAAGCAUGCAACCAAUUAAAAAAUCAAAUAAAUCCAAAAUAUUUAUCCAAACACCCAAAAAUCAGUCAAGAAGACCCAAUUUUAUCUUCCAGACCUAAUGUACCACAUUAAUUGAAAAAACACAGAACACACUAACUAUGUAUAAUUCGUAUAUAUUCACCAACAAGACCAAACUUGCACAAUAAAAGAACACCCGGAAAUCACGAUUAAGCACAUUUUAAUUACAAAAAAGGGAGUUUUUUUUUUACCUUCACUCAUGCUUGUAGUUAGUCUCGUUAUCGGUCAAAAAACCCCAAUUGUAGCAGGACGAAACUGUAAUUGUUGUAUGGCGUUGCGAUUGUCGUGCAGGCACUCUGAAAUUCGCCAAGAAUCUCGAAGGAUAGUGGCUAGCGCGAUUACAUUUCAGGGUUGAGGUGUUUUUGAAAGUGAAACUGUUGAAGAUGAGCGUGUUUAUCUUGCGUG
rnacentral:lncRNA from 1 species